rnacentral:rRNA from 1 species
AUGAACGCUAGCUACAGGCUUAACACAUGCAAGUCGAGGGGCAGCAUGGUCUUAGCUUGCUAAGGCCGAUGGCGACCGGCGCACGGGUGAGUAACGCGUAUCCAACCUGCCUUACACUCUUGGACAGCCUUCUGAAAGGGAGAUUAAUACAAGAUGUUAUCAUGAGUAAGCAUUUUCGCAUGAUUAAAGGUUUACCGGUGUAAGAUGGGGAUGCGUUCCAUUAGAUAGUAGGCGGGGUAACGGCCCACCUAGUCUUCGAUGGAUAGGGGUUCUGAGAGGAAGGCCCCCCACAUUGGAACUGAGACACGGUCCAAACUCCUACGGGAGGCAGCAGUGAGGAAUAUUGGUCAAUGGACGAGAGUCUGAACCAGCCAAGUAGCGUGAAGGAUGAAGGUUCUAUGGAUUGUAAACUUCUUUUAUACGGGAAUAAACGAAUCCACGUGUGGAUUUUUGCAUGUACCGUAUGAAUAAGGAUCGGCUAACUCCGUGCCAGCAGCCGCGGUAAUACGGAGGAUCCGAGCGUUAUCCGGAUUUAUUGGGUUUAAAGGGAGCGUAGAUGGGUUGUUAAGUCAGUUGUGAAAGUUUGCGGCUCAACCGUAAAAUUGCAAUUGAUACUGGCAGUCUUGAGUACAGUUGAGGUAGGCGGAAUUCGUGGUGUAGCGGUGAAAUGCUUAGAUAUCACGAAGAACUCCGAUUGCGAAGGCAGCUUACUAACCUGUAACUGACAUUGAUGCUCGAAAGUGUGGGUAUCAAACAGGAUUAGAUACCCUGGUAGUCCACACGGUAAACGAUGAAUACUCGCUGUAGGCGAUAUACAGUCUGCGGCCAAGCGAAAGCAUUAAGUAUUCCACCUGGGGAGUACGCCGGCAACGGUGAAACUCAAAGGAAUUGACGGGGGCCCGCACAAGCGGAGGAACAUGUGGUUUAAUUCGAUGAUACGCGAGGAACCUUACCCGGGCUUAAAUUGCAACCGAAUAUGGCGGAAACGCUAUAGCUAGCAAUAGCGGUUGUGAAGGUGCUGCAUGGUUGUCGUCAGCUCGUGCCGUGAGGUGUCGGCUUAAGUGCCAUAACGAGCGCAACCCUUGCCGAUAGUUACUAACAGGUCAUGCUGAGGACUCUGUCGGGACUGCCAUCGUAAGAUGUGAGGAAGGUGGGGAUGACGUCAAAUCAGCACGGCCCUUACGUCCGGGGCUACACACGUGUUACAAUGGGGGGUACAGAGGGCUGCUACCACGCAAGUGGAUGCCAAUCCCAAAAACCUCUCUCAGUUCGGAUUGAAGUCUGCAACCCGACUUCAUGAAGCUAGAUUCGCUAGUAAUCGCGCAUCAGCCACGGCGCGGUGAAUACGUUCCCGGGCCUUGUACACACCGCCCGUCAAGCCAUGGGAGCCGGGGGUACCUGAAGUGCGUAACCGCAAGGAGCGCCCUAGGGUAAAACUGGUGGCUGGGGCU